rnacentral:rRNA from 1 species
CAGUCGCCACGGGAAUACGUAGGUGGCAAGCGUUAUCCGGAAUUAUUGGGCGUAAAGCGCGCGUAGGCGGUUUUUUAAGUCUGAUGUGAAAGCCCACGGCUCAACCGUGGAGGGUCAUUGGAAACUGGAAAACUUGAGUGCAGAAGAGGAAAGUGGAAUUCCAUGUGUAGCGGUGAAAUGCGCAGAGAUAUGGAGGAACACCAGUGGCGAAGGCGGCUUUCUGGUCUGCAACUGACGCUGAUGUGCGAAAGCGUGGGGAUCAAACAGGAUUAGAUACCCCAGUAGUCCCUGUCUCUUAUAC